rnacentral:rRNA from 1 species
GAUUACCUCAGUAACGGCGAGUGAAGCGGUAACAGCUCAAAUUUGAAAUCUGGGUCUUUCAGGCUCCGAGUUGUAAUUUGUAGAAGAUGCUUUGGGUGCGGCCCCGGUCUAAGUUCCUUGGAACAGGACGUCAUAGAGGGUGAGAAUCCCGUAUGUGAUCGGUGGCUUGCGCCCGUGUAAAGCUCUUUCGACGAGUCGGGUUGUUUGGGAAUGCAGCUCUAAAUGGGUGGUAAAUUUCAUCUAAAGCUAAAUAUUGGCCAGAGACCGAUAGCGCACAAGUAGAGUGAUCGAAAGAUGAAAAGGACUUUGGAAAGAGAGUUAAACAGUACGUGAAAUUGUUGAAAGGGAAGCGCUUGCAACCAGACUUGCGCGGGGUUGAUCAUCCGGGGUUCUCCCCGGUGCACUCGGCCUCGCUCAGGCCAGCAUCGGUUUCGGUGGUUGGAUAAAGGCCUUGGGAAUGUGACUUCUUUCGGGGAGUGUUAUAGCCCUCGGUGCAAUGCAGCCUACCGGGACCGAGGACCGCGCUUCGGCUAGGAUGCUGGCGUAAUGGUUGUAAGCGACCCGUCUUGAAACACGGACCAAGGAGUCUAACAUCUAUGCGAGUGUUUGGGUGUCAAACCCAUACGCGUAAUGAAAGUGAACGGAGGUGAGAACCCUUAAGGGUGCAUCAUCGACCGAUCCUGAUGUCUUCGGAUGGAUUUGAGUAAGAGCAUAGCUGUUGGGACCCGAAAGAUGGUGAACUAUGCCUGAAUAGGGUGAAGCCAGAGGAAACUCUGGUGGAGGCUCGCAGCGGUUCUGACGUGCAAAUCGAUCGUCAAAUUUGGGCAUAGG